AUCAAGACAAGCACCAACUAUUUUCCCGUCACUGAAUAAGAGUAAGGCUGGCCCAUCCCAAGCUUCCAUCUGACCUUUGUAGUAAUUAUAAAAAUCAAGAACCUCCGGAUAUUUAAUUGACAAUGUUGGAUGAUUUUGAUAUGCUUCUGGGACGAGAAUCAUCAGUGCUUCCUCAGGAGCCCGACCACUUCUUAUGAGUAAUUCAGCAGUACUAUCUAAAUUUGCAGAAUCAGAUGCCUUUGGGUUGCCAAAAGGACGGAUUUCAUCCUCUCGGUCACGCCAAACAGCUGACUUCAAUGAGGCCUCUCUGGAUUGCAUCCAAUUCAAGUUUCCCUGUAUAGUGUUGAUCUCUCCAUUAUGACCUAGAAACCUCAUUGGUUGAGCAAGAGGCCACCUGGGACUGGUGUUUGUACUGAAUCUACGAUGAUAAAUAGCAAGAGGAGAUGUAUAGAGCUCAUUUUGUAAGUCAUAAUAGAACCUCCCGAGGACUUCAGAACGGAGCAUUCCCUUGUAAACUAUUGUUUGAUUGGACAAUGAACAGAAAUAAAGUUCAUUUCCCCAAAUUUCUGAGUUCACAGCCCUCUCAAUGAGUUUUCUACAGAUAUAGAGUUCUCUUUCAAUGUCAUCAACAUUUUCCUCUUUAACAACUCGAACAAAAACCUGUUGUAUGUUGGGCAUUGUUACUUUUGCAUAAUAUCCAACUACAGAAGAAUCUACUGGAACCGACCUCCAUCCAAGCACCUCAAGACCCUCGUUGUUAAAGAUAUUGGAAAUAACUUUCUUGGCUUCAUUCAUCUGGUUAGAAUCAUUCGGAAGAAAAACCAUCCCAACGCCAGUAUGAAGCUUGUCAAAGACAGCAAUUCCUUCUUUCUCAGCCCAAUCAUUGAAAAGAUCCCAAGGAAUCGAAGUCAUCAAUCCAGAACCAUCACCAGAAUCAUUGUCAGCUCCACAACCUCCACGAUGUUCCAUGCAGCCAAGGGCUACAAGAGCAUCCUUGACGAUCCCAUGUGACGCUUUAUUGUCCAAAUUUGCAAUAAAACCAACCCCACAUGCGCCUCUUUCAGAUAAUAUGUCAUCCAAGUCAGCAACCUUAGGCACUAUAUCAGAGGACUGGCGAGAUGCAUUACUGGCACCACGUUGAAGGUCAAGAACAGCAUUACACUUUUUAUUAAUCAAGCUUCUCCUAUUAGUGGCGGCAUAACCAAUCCUUCUACGAAUCCGCUUGCUGGAUUUACAGUAGAAUCCAAGGAAAUCAGCAAACAAGCCGUCUUUAUUACCAGUUAGAAUCUUCGGUGACUGUCCGUAGAGUAACUGCGGAACGUUUGCCACGGAAUUCACCGCCAUGAAACCUAAUCAGAACCCUCCCCUACACAGAGAAUCGCAGAGUGAGUGUGAAAUAGUUGUAGGUAGAGAGAGAAAAAG
rnacentral:misc_RNA from 1 species